UACGUAGGGGGCAAGCGUUGUCCGGAAUCAUUGGGCGUAAAGCGCGUGUAGGCGGCUCGGUAGGUCCGCUCUGAAAGCCCGGGGCUCAACCCCGGGAGGCGGGUGGGAUACUGCCUGAGCUCGAGUCCGGAAGAGGAGUGUGGAAUUCCUGGUGUAGCGGUGAAAUGCGUAGAUAUUGGGAGGAACACCAGUGGCGAAGGCGACUUCCUGGCCUGUUCUUGACGCUGAGGCGCGAAAGCUAGGGGAGCAAACGGG
rnacentral:rRNA from 1 species